rnacentral:rRNA from 1 species
GGUGAACGCUGGCGGUAGGCCUAGCACAUGCAAGUCGAACGGCAGCACAGUAAGAGCUUGCUCUUACGGGUGGCGAGUGGCGGACGGGUGAGGAAUACAUCGGAAUCUACUUUUUCGUGGGGGAUAACGUAGGGAAACUUACGCUAAUACCGCAUACGACCUACGGGUGAAAGCAGGGGAUCUUCGGACCUUUCGCGAUUGUAUUAGCCGAUUUCGGAUUAGAUAGUUGGCGGGGUAAAGUCCACCAAGGCGACGAUCCGUAGCUGGUCUGAGAGGAUGAUCGGCCACACUGGAACUGAGACACGGUCCAGACUCCUACGGGAGGCAGCAGUAGGGAAUCUUGGGCAAUGGGCGCAAGCCUGAUCCAGCCAUACCGCGUGAGUGAAGAAGGCCUUCGGGUUGUAAAGCCCUGUUGUUGGGAAAGAAAAGCAGCAGGUUUAUACCCCGAUGUUCUGACGGUACCCAAAGAAUAAGCACCGGCUAACUUCGUG